rnacentral:tRNA from 1 species
GUUAAAAUAGCAAAGUAGUCAAUGCAAAAGACCUAAGCUCUUUUACCAAAGGUUCAAACCCUUUUUUUAACU